AACGAACGCUGGCGGCGCGUCUUAAACAUGCGAGUCGAACGGCAGGAAGGGGCUUGCCCCUUCUGAGAGUGGCGGACUGGUGAGUAACACGUGGGUGACAUACCUUUUAGUUGGGGAUAGCUAUUAGAAAUAGUAGGUAAUACCGAAUGUGACCGUACCUGUUAGAGGGGUACGAGGAAAGGAGCUAAGGCUUCGCUAAAAGAAUGGCUCGCGGCCCAUUAUGCUCGUUGGUGAGGUAACGGCCCACCAAGGCGAUGAUGGGUAUCCGGCCUGAGAGGGUGAACGGACACAUUGGGACUGAGAUACGGCCCAGACUUCUACGGGAGGCAGCAGUUAAGAAUAUUCCGCAAUGGACGAAAGUCUGACGGAGCGACGCCGCGUGGAUGAAGAAUGCCGAAAGGUUGUAAAAUCCUUUUAAGCCUGAUGAAUAAGCACAGUAGGGAAUGAUUGUGCGGUGACCGUAGGGCUUGAAUAAGCACCGGCUAAUUACGUG
rnacentral:rRNA from 1 species